rnacentral:piRNA from 1 species
UGCCUGUGUGGGCUUGAGGUUC